GGCAAGAGAUAAUGCUGAGUCACCGGGACCCCUACUGGGGGUAAGGCCCCCCAAAGUGGGCUGCAGCUGGAAGCAUCUGCCUGAGCACCCACAAAAGGCAAGCGGAGCCAGGCGCAGGUCCCCUUCCUGCCCAGUCACCCAGAAGAGAACAUGCAGAACCAACAGCCCACGCUCCUGAGCACCGGCCAUGAGCCAGGCACAUCACACACACAACCUUCCCUCAGCUCUCCAAAAACCUUAUGGAAGGAUGCCAUCACCAUGGCCCCUUUACAAGCACAGAAAUGGGGGUCUACGCCUGGUGUCCUUGCCAUGAGGACAGAGGAGCUACGGCGGGACCCCGGGACCCCUGCCCUGGCCAUGCAGGCCGCAAGGAAGGCUCAGUGCUCUCCUGGAGCGCGCUGGCAGGAGCAGGUGGCCGCCUCCCUCCCGGGGGAAUGAUUCUCACUCCCAGCCAUGCUGGUCCCAGGCAAUGCGGUGCUACCUAGACAGUCUUCCCCACCCCAGCCAGGUCAGCAAAUCAAGGACAAUCCGCCUGAAUGCCACCAUGGGAGAGAUGAUGUCUUGGUUGUACCCUUUGUGGUUUCACUUUGUAUUUAAGCAAACAAACAAAUAAAGGAAAUAAACUUGAAAA